rnacentral:misc_RNA from 1 species
CCUCCAGAGAUUCAAUGUCUGAAAUUGCUAGCCCUUUUUGGUACAGUGCUUCUAUUAAUUGAUCCCUUGUUGUCUCCAUCUUCUUUUUUAUUUUCUCUGCCUCCUCAUCUUCAGGAUCACUCUUGAGGGAAAAGAAUUUUGCCAACUCAUCUCUGUCAAUACUAUCAAUUACCUCAUUUGCUGCACGAAUAAUCUCUUCAUCAUGGCCAAUUUUGUCCCCUACAUUACUCUCAGAAAGCAAACCUUCCAAAAUCUUAGCAAGCAGGGGAGUAUAAUUUGGGUAUUCAGACUUAAGAGAGAUGGACAAUUUUUUCCACUCUGAGCGUUCUUCAUCAGUGUCUUGUUUUAGGCUAGUAAAAACUUUUAUCUUUGCAUCUCGAACCUCUUCUUCUAAACGUUCAGAAACAGUUUUGGAGCAAGUUGAAGAAGUUCCUUUUCCCUUGUCAUCAUCAACCUUAUUUGGAGGAACUAUAUAAGAGACUUGAUAAGAUACAGGGUUCUUCUGUGGAUUUUUCCCUUCUUCGUGACCAGCUUUUCCAUAUGAGAUUGAUCCCAAAAGCACAGAGCAUUGUGGAACAUUCUUUGGAAGUUUUUCUU